AAGUCGUAACAAGGUUUCCGUAGGUGAACCUGCGGAAGGAUCAUUCAAGGAUUUAAAAAUCAUACCAAAAGGGAUAUUCUGUGUAGCUAUCGUAAUUUAUUAUGGCAGUGAAGGAGUUCCCGAAACCAAAAAAUUUACACCUAAAUAAAGCAUUAAAGAUGGCUCUCACUACUGGGAUGCUACUGGGGUCACUUUAUGUGUCGUAGUGGUGUUCUUGUUAGUAAGAGUUGUUUUAAAUAAUUGGCUGAUGAGCAGUAAAGGGGAAUACAAUUGUAUGACUCUUUAGUGAUGUGAUUUAUA
rnacentral:misc_RNA from 1 species